GAUUUCUGGCUUGAAACAUUUUGCCGGCCACGGUUUCGUGUGUUAGUGCUUGAUGUUCUGGCCAUCCUUCCAAUUGCUAUUGGCCUUUCUUCACUGAUUGGUCAGUAGUGUUGGAUCUUUUACUUUGAAAAAAUUAGAGUGUUUCAAGCAGGCUUUAUGCUAUGAAUACAUUAGCAUGGAAUAAUAAUUUAGGACUUCGGUUCUAUUUUGUUGGUUUCUAGGACUGAAGUAAUGAUUGAUAGGGAUAGUUGGGGGUGCUAGUAUUCAGCGGCCAGAGGUGAAAUUCUUGGAUUCGCUGAAGACUAACUUAUGCGAAAGCAUU
rnacentral:rRNA from 1 species